ACGUUUCACCUGGCUUCUGAUCUCUAGCUAACAAGGUGUUACCACUUGUCUCUGCCACAUGUAGUCUGAAACAUAAUGAAACCUCCUCGGUGUCUGUAGGCUAACCUCAGAGUUCUGCCAUUUCCUUGUCUAGUUAGCGGAUUGCAUCACUUUAUUUGAGGUUAGGUGAAGCAGUCACGCGAAUGUCAUGACAACCGCCGUGUCCCAUACUGGUGCAGCACAACAUCAUCACUAGGAGACAUGAAGAUGACUGCAGUGGCACAGACUGGGAUCCUUACAUAACUCCUCUGUCCGUCCUUUUCUCUAAUGUUACACCUGAAAUCAGACCCAUGGGGGUCAUUGGAAAGCCAGAACCUGAAGUAGGGAAGAACAGGAUCCAUACACAUGUCCUCUUCAUGGAGUCCACCAUUACUGCACCGUUUCACACCACCCAGUUCUCUGACCCGCUCGUGAGGGGUCAGCAGAGUAUUCUGAUGGAUGAAAUGUGUAACCUCACCACUAGAUGGCACUAAACCCGGCACACGGCUCCUUUAAAGAGUCUCUUCAUGGUGUUACACUUGGUGGAAAUGUUUAUUAUCAGUAAACAAGACGGGAGUGUGUGUAAGCAGACACACUCUGUACAUCCUCUGCUCCAAUCUCCUAAGACGUGAGGAGAGGAGAUGAAUGGAGGACACCGGCCUUCUGUCUACUGACCCCUGCUCUCUGACCUUUGAACCCAUCCCAGCAUUCUCAUGAAAGCUUCAGCUGUGUUAUCACACGUGCGUCAUGUGACACAGACCCAGGCUCCUAUCUGGGCCAUCACGUUCAGGUAAAACAAGUUGACCAAGUGGGCUGCAUUCCACUUCUCCUGAUUCCUGUCUCCUACCUGUAGGACACCUGCUUCCGGAAGGUCAGCUGAACAAACUCCGCCUCCAUCCGGGCCACUGACAGCUGUCCCUCCUCAC